rnacentral:rRNA from 1 species
GAUGAACGCUGGCGGCGUGCCUAAUACAUGCAAGUCGAGCGAACAGAUGAGGAGCUUGCUCCUCUGACGUUAGCGGCGGACGGGUGAGUAACACGUGGAUAACCUACCUCUAAGACUGGGAUAACUUCGGGAAACCGGAGCCAAUACUGGAUAAUAUAUUGAACCGCAUGGUUCAAUAGUGAAAGACGGUUUUGCUGUCACUUAUAGAUGGAUCCGCGCCGCAUUAGCUAGUUGGUAAGGUGACGGCUUACCAAGGCAACGAUGCGUAGCCGACCUGAGAGGGUGAUCGGCCACACUGGAACUGAGACACGGUCCAGACUCCUACGGGAGGCAGCAGUAGGGAAUCUUCCGCAAUGGGCGAAAGCCUGACGGAGCAACGCCGCGUGAGUGAUGAAGGUCUUCGGAUCGUAAAACUCUGUUAUUAGGAAAGAACAAAUGUGUAAGUAACUAUGCACGUCUUGACGGUACCUAAUCAGAAAGCCACGGCUAACUACGUG